CUUACCGAUGGCGACCGGCGCACGGGGUGAGUAACACGUAUCCAACCUGCCGAUAACUCGGGGAUAGCCUUUCGAAAGAAAGAUUAAUAUCCGAUAGGAUAUCAAGGUCGCAUGAUCUUGAUAUUAAAGAAUUUCGGUUAUCGAUGGGGAUGCGUUCCAUUAGUUAGUUGGCGGGGUAACGGCCCACCAAGACGACGAUGGAUAGGGGUUCUGAGAGGAAGGUCCCCCACAUUGGAACUGAGACACGGUCCAAACUCCUACGGGAGGCAGCAG
rnacentral:rRNA from 1 species